GAUGAACGCUGGCGGCGUGCCUAAUACAUGCAAGUCGAGCGAAUGGAUUAAGAGCUUGCUCUUAUGAAGUUAGCGGCGGACGGGUGAGUAACACGUGGGUAACCUGCCCAUAAGACUGGGAUAACUCCGGGAAACCGGGGCUAAUACCGGAUAACAUUUUGAACCGCAUGGUUCGAAAUUGAAAGGCGGCUUCGGCUGUCACUUAUGGAUGGACCCGCGUCGCAUUAGCUAGUUGGUGAGGUAACGGCUCACCAAGGCAACGAUGCGUAGCCGGCCUGGGAGGGUGAUCGGCCACACUGGGACUGAGACACGGCCCAGACUCCUACGGGAGGCAGCAGUAGGGAAUCUUCCGCAAUGGACGAAAGUCUGACGGAGCAACGCCGCGUGAGUGAUGAAGGCUUUCGGGUCGUAAAACUCUGUUGUUAGGGAAGAACAAGUGCUAGUUGAAUAAGCUGGCACCUUGACGGUACCUAACCAGAAAGCCACGGCUAACUACGUGCCAGCCUCCGCCGCCG
rnacentral:rRNA from 1 species